AAAGAAACCAAAUGGGAUUGGCCUAGUAGCAACAAUGAACAAAAUACCAAGAGAAACGUUGUCAUUAUUCGUCA
rnacentral:rRNA from 13 species